UACGUAGGGGGCUAGCGUUGUCCGGAAUCAUUGGGCGUAAAGAGCGUGUAGGCGGCCCGGUAAGUCCGCUGUAAAAGUCAAAGGCUCAACCUCUGAAUGCGGGUGGAUACUGCUGGGCUAGAGUCCGGAAGAGGCGAGUGGAAUUCCUGGUGUAGCGGUGAAAUGCGCAGAUAUCAGGAGGAACACCGAUGGCGAAGGCAGGUCUCUGGGCCAUAACUGACGCUGAGAAGCGAAAGCAUGGGGAGCGAACAGG
rnacentral:rRNA from 1 species